GAUGAACGCUGGCGGCGUGCCUAAUACAUGCAAGUCGAGCGAACGGACGAGAAGCUUGCUUUUCUGAUGUUAGCGGCGGACGGGUGAGUAACACGUGGAUAACCUACCUAUAAGACUGGGAUAACUUCGGGAAACCGGAGCUAAUACCGGAUAAUAUUUUGAACCGCAUGGUUCAAAAGUGAAAGACGGUCUUGCUGUCACUUAUAGAUGGAUCCGCGCUGCAUUAGCUAGUUGGUAAGGUAACGGCUUACCAAGGCAACGAUGCAUAGCCGACCUGAGAGGGUGAUAGGCCACACUGGAACUGGGACACGGUCCAGACUCCUACGGGAGGCAGCAGUAGGGAAUCUUACGCAAUGGGCGAAAGCCUGACGGAGCAACGCCGCGUGAGUGAUGAAGGUCUUCGGAUCGUAAAAAUCUGUUAUUAGGGAAGAACAUAUGUGUAAGUAACUGUGCACAUCUUGACGGUACCUAAUCAGAAAGCCACGGCUAACUACGUG
rnacentral:rRNA from 1 species